AACGAACGCUGGCGGCAGGCCUAACACAUGCAAGUCGAACGCGAAAUUUCCCUUCGGGGAGAAAGUAGAGUGGCGCACGGGUGAGUAACACGUAGGUAAUUUGCCUUUGGGUGGGGAAUAACAGCCGGAAACGGCUGCUAAUACCGCAUAAUGCAGCGGCUCGACAUCGAGACAGUUGUUAAAGCGGGGGAUCUCGCAAGAGACCUCGCGCCUAAAGAGAAGCCUGCGGCAGAUUAGCUAGUUGGUAAGGUAAUGGCUUACCAAGGCGACGAUCUGUAACCGGCCUGAGAGGGCGGUCGGUCACACUGACACUGACAUACGGGUCAGACUCCUACGGGAGGCAGCAGUCGGGAAUUUUGGGCAAUGGGCGAAAGCCUGACCCAGCAACGCCGCGUGAAGGAUAGAAAUUUUUCGGAAUGUAAACUUCGCAAGAACGGGAAGAAUAAGUAGAAGCGAAUACCUUCUAUGAUGACGGUA
rnacentral:rRNA from 1 species